CGAAAUGCGAUAAGUAGUGUGAAUUGCAGAAUUCAGUGAAUCAUCGAAUCUUUGAACGCACAUUGCGCCCCUUGGUAUUCCAUGGGGCAUGCCUGUUCGAGCGUCAUUUGUACCCUCUAGCUCUGCUUGGUGUUGGGUGUUUGUCCCCGUCUCCGCGCGUGGACUCGCCCCAAAGUGAUUGGCAGCCGGCGUACUGGUCCCGGAGCGCAGCACAUGUCGCGCAAACGAGUGCCUUGGUACGGCGGCGUCCAUAAGCCCCUCUCUCACGCUCUUGACCUCGGAUCAGGUAGGGAUACCCGCUGAACUUAAGC
rnacentral:misc_RNA from 1 species